rnacentral:lncRNA from 1 species
AAAAAAACAGUACAUCAUGGUUAAAUAAAACUGUACCCUGGAUAACCCUGAUUUCCAUAUGCAGAUUUAUCUGCACUGACAGCCCCCUCUCCCUCUCUUAGUCUUUCUAUUUCCUCUCUCUCCCUCUCCUUCUCUCUCUCUCCCUCAUUCUCUUUCUCCCUCUUUCUCUCCUUCUCUCUCUGUCUUUUUGUCUCCCCUUAUGUCUAUUGCAUUGUGCCUGAAUAAUUUUCAGGGAUUUUUUUUUUUUUUUCUCUCUUGCACGCACAUGCUAAAAGAACUAGACAAAGAUGCAAGGUGUUUGCUGCAGUCCCUGUCUCUAGGAAAAAAUAAAACAACAAGAAAGCUCAUGAUUGCAAUGCCACCUUUUCUUUUCUUUCUUUCCUUUUUUUUUUUUCUUUUCUACUCAUGCUCGGUGAUUAAACUUCCCCAGGAUGAAAAAGGAGCUGGAAUUGAAAUAGGGCUGAGGAAAAGACCAUUGCAGCAGCUGCAGUCAGUGGUGUCUACUGCCAGAUGUGCUAAGCAGGCACCGUGUGGGAGAAAAUCAACAUGCUGGAUGUUGAAUUGGACUUUCCUCCUUUCUAGGAUGAAAGGAUGUUAUCUAUCCCGUGCCAAGAGGGAGCUGAGAGCAAUGAACAUAAGGCUGUUACUAUCAGCACUGGUGUAUUUGCAGCGAUGCCUAUCAACAUCCACCAGAGAGCAGGGCAGCUCCAAAACCCACAUCUUUCAUGCUGUGGAAAUUGAUGGAGACAGCAACACAGCCAGCUUCUUGGCCAAACAACAUGGAAUGCAGUUCAUUUCAAAGCAAGCUAUUUUCAUGGAUAUCUAAGCCGACAUCUCUUCAUCAUUUAAGACUGGAGUUUUCUUGUAUCCAAACUGACAGAUUUUCAAAACUUCGGGAUUGGUCUCAAGUGGUCCUGGAGACAUUCUCUCCACAGUUUCCUUUUUCGUCUAUGUAAUUACAUGGUCCAGACUAUUUAUUGUGAAA